rnacentral:lncRNA from 1 species
ACCUACGCUCAGAGGAAUUUCUUGAACUGUCAUGCUCGCUAGGCGAAGCCCACGUGUUUAAAAAAAACAAAAAAAAAACAAAAAUAAAUAAAUAAAAUAUAACAGAAAAUUUUUGGACUUGGGUCUCUCUCAUUUGAGCCCACAGGUCCACAAAAAUCAGGUUAUAAAUUCAAAGUUUCAGUGAAACAAAAUUCAAUUCUAUUCCUAUUACCCUGGCAGGAAAAAGAUAGUGAGAGAAGAGCUAACAGAGUUCAGAGCAACCUCUAGAGACUGAAG